GGCGGUAUAGCUCAGUUGGUAGAGCACCGGAAUCAUAAUCCGUAUGUCGUUGGUUCGAGUCCAUCUGCCGCUA
rnacentral:tRNA from 1 species